AACAAACGCUGGCGGCGUGCCUAACACAUGCAAGUCGUACGAGAAAGGGUCCUUCGGGAUCUGAGUAAAGUGGCGCACGGGUGAGUAACGCGUGGAUAAUCUGCCCCUCAGUUGGGAAUAACUCAUCGAAAGGUGGGCUAAUACCGAAUAAUACUGUGAGACUUUGGUCGAUCAGUCAAAGAGAGCCUCUGCUUGCAAGCCCUCGCUGAAGGAUGAGUCCGCGUACCAUUAGCUAGUUGGUAGGGUAAUGGCCUACCAAGGCGACGAUGGUUAGCUGGUCUGAGAGGAUGAUCAGCCACACUGGAACUGAGACACGGUCCAGACUCCUACGGGAGGCAGCAGUGAGGAAUCUUGCGCAAUGGGGGCAACCCUGACGCAGCAACGCCGCGUGAGUGAGGAAGGUCUUCGGAUCGUAAAGCUCUGUCAGUUGGGAAGAACUACCCAAGGGUGAAUACCCCCUGGGCUUGACGGUACCAACAGAGGAAGCACCGGCUAACUCCGUGCCAGCCGCCGCGGUAAUAC
rnacentral:rRNA from 1 species